AUAGGUUGAUAUAUAUAUAUAUAUACACACACACAUUAAUAUGUUAUUGUAUAUAUAUACAUUAACAUGCUUUGAUUUAUGUUUUGUUGUCCUUGGUUUAAUAUGAGAUUUGAUGCAUGCUUAGAAAUAUGAGCUGAUUUGUUUGAUUUUGAUUUGUUGUGUCUCACCAUGUUUUGAAUGAAGAGUUGAAUUAAUAUAUUAGAGGCAUGCUGGGUUUUGUUUGAUUGUCGUUUUGUUGCUGCUUUAACACUGUGUUUCUGGGCGUGUAUGUGCCAUGAAUGCAAUGUGAUGGAAUGCUAUGUUGUGUGUUAGAUGCAUGUUAGGAUAGGCUUAGUGUGUGUAUACAACAAUCCAUUAAAAAGUCCUUUAAUGGGAUUAGAAUUUGGAACACAAUAAGUGGAGGCCGAUUUAUGAGUCAAGUCGGGUUGGGUGCCUAACACCUUCACAUCCCUGUACCUAAACUCUAAACAUGUGCUCUAAUAAAAAUCAGUCAUUCUCAUAGGCAAUAUAUAUAUGGUUCCUAGACUUAAUCUAUGUGAUGACUCCAUUUACACCUUCUGUCUGGUCCACUCUAGGCUGAGGCGUACUUCCCACAAGAAAAUCACUUAUUGCGGGUGCUUGCACCCACAACUCUCUUAUCCCAAAUCAGCAAGACUCACUAGUGUGAACUGCAUCCAAAACAGCGCAGUCUAAGAAAGGGCUGCCCCACAGACUCUGAACAAUAGAUGAAUUUAAAGCAGAAGUUUCCUGAAAACAUACAAUAUCACACUUCCAUUCCAUUCCUUAAGAAGAUUCUUACAUACCUCAUGCUUCCAGAGACUGUUUAACCCCCUAACAUUCCAAAGAUAGAAGUUUUAAAUUCAUUUACAACAACUAAUUGCCCCCAAACAAGUUGAGAAAACUUUGUUCCUACUUCUAGAAGAUAACCCAUCAUAGUUAACUGUAGAGACCAGGCGUUAAAUGGUCGCAUAGAAACCCCAUCGUGAUGAUCAUCCAUACAAUCUUGUUCCAGUAAACGAAAUAGUGCCACACAUUGAUCCUCAUCUUUCACAAUAGGAAAACCCAACUUUUCAUCAUCUCAGUCACCCAUUUUGAAUCUUCCACCUCUUUCAUCACAAAAUACCCACAGCAAACUCCUGAUCCAGCAUGACCUCCCUAGUUUCAAUGGGAUCCCACUGGGACAGAGGUGGACACUCUAGAAGACACUGAUUUUUCUCCCCACCCAAGCAACCAUUUUUUUCAAACCCACUGUAAUCCCAUGGAAGAAGAAGCUCGCUACUGCACCCCGUCAGAAUUGGCGACACCACAUCUACCUCUUGGGCACAACCCUAUUCUUUGUACACACUUGCCUCCUCCAUUAAAUCUUCCUCUCCCCCAGACCAUACACCCAUCGCACCACCCAGAUUAAAUAGAGAAGAGAAUCAAUUAUUACCCACCCACUGAUGGUCAUGAAACACAAACAUGAUCGGUGACUCCUUCAUUGUCGGAACCAUCUUACUGUUGAAACCAGAGCACUGGGACACCGUCCUUGCUCUCACCUCAAGCUACUCAGAGUUAUUAUUUCUAUCAAAAUGGGCUUUUUCCAACACUAGGUACUUGGUUGGCUUUGAUAGGCCCAGUUGUCCUAAUAGGUUUCUCAGGCCUAAAAUUCCUUUAACUUCCGCUAGUGUCACAAGGUCAAUUUUUCACUCAAAUUUUCUGCCUGUGAUGGCCCUAAGUCCCUAACUUAGUCUCAGCCAACACCACACACACACACUGUAAUAACACUUAGAACAAAUUAUCUAGGGACGUUUAAACACACAGCACACACAAUAUUUACAGGGAACCCACCCCCAACCUUUAUUACUUAAUUUCAAGUACAAAGGAAACCCUUUUAUAAGCCUAGAGAAUUACACAGAAUUUUUCCAAUGCCAAAUACACUCUGUUGCUAACACCCCCAGCAGCCUUAGGGUUAAAUAUACAGAAUUAACUGCUAUGGCAGUUACUGCUUAGUAACUACCAAGGUCUUGGACAAUCUGCCACUUGUGGUCUAACUUAAAAUACCUUCAACUGAUGCUGUCUUGGCUUACUCUCCACGUUUCCAGCCCCUACACAGCAAGUCUGAUCAUUAGGAAAGCCAGGAACUACUUGGUAACUACUUAGUAACCGCCACUGCACAUGCACAGCCCAUGUCUUAGCAGACCAUGGGGCCUCUGCCCAUCCUCCAGUAGUCCACACAACUAGUUCCCACACGUUUUAGAGAGGCUUGGCCCAUGCUCAAGGUCUCCCAUCAGCACUACAACCCACAUAGCAUGCCCAUAUGCAGCACACCAAAUAACUGCCAUCAACCCACUAGCACUUGUCCAUGCAUUCAACCAGCCCACACUAGCCCAAUGCCUUGCACACAGCAUUUAAUCAUCACAGCAGCCCAGCCCUGCCUUGCACUCCAACCACCAAGCCCACACACAAGGAACCAACAACUAAGCCACCAAUGCCAUGCACCACCAUGUAGGGUCAGCACCACCUGCUGCUGCCCAUCAUCACAACCAUCUCUGUCUACCAUGGCCUUGGGGCAUCAUGUGGAGCAAGGUGCCUCCACAUGCUGCCCCUCAUCACAGUUCAUCGAUCCAACACGAGUAGGGAGACUGGGCUGGUCCUCCUCAAAGAGCCCUUAGAAGCAUCACUAGUUAGGCAUGAGGAGCCAUGAGUGUGUUGAGAAAACAUAAAGUCAAGUGAUUGACUCAAUGUUGCCCAAGCACCGUCAUUCCUCAUGCCAUCAGCAGCAACCCAUAAUGCUCCUAACAGCUAGUUACCAUUAAUUAUCAACUACCCCUUCUGACCACCAAACCAACCACCAGUGGUAUCAAGAAUCACCUUGUAAUGACUUUUCCCCGAUAAGAAAAGUCCCAACCCUUUCUGAAAAGAAGACCACCCAGAUCUCUAUACAUUGUAGCUUGACGGUAUCAUAACACAACCCCGACAAGCUCCGCCGUAAUAUACUGCUAUGUCCAUAAAGAGACCAACUUUAUUCAAUCUACCACAAAAUUCCAACCACUUGUUGUUUUCUCUAAAUUGCUUACAAAGGAAAUCCUUCCGCACGUAUAUCAACAAAGCAAGAAAUAAUCCAUUCCAUGGCUUUACGUCCUACCCAAAUGGAAAUUUUUCCAUUUCAACGGCUUUCAUGGAUAGCAGACCACCCGCCCACCAUCAAAAGAGAGAAAUGUUUUGCAUCAAUACGUAAAAAGCCCUUACUGCCCCCCUUGGCUAAAAGGAAAAGGUUUAGAUGGUAUAUUUUGUGGGGUUGGUUUAGUGGAAAAAACCGUGUUUUUAGGUAAUGGAAUAAGUGUUUGUGGAGGUUUUGACUAAGGCAACUGAGGUGCUGGAGAAGGGAUAGGUGCUGUUGGUGUAAACGUGGAGGGACAUGGAUUUGUGUAAGCGAUAAAGCCAAAAGGUGAUGGAUACUGAGCUGGGAAAAAGAAGGGAACAGGGGGAAGUGACUGGAUAUGUGAAGAUGGUAGGAAAGAUUAAAACUAUAUGCAUGUGUUUUGUAAAGAUUAUAUAUUUUUCAAUGAUAUUAUUUUUUAUUGUUGUCCAAAAGCUUAAGCUAUGGUAAAUUUAAUCAUUUAACUCAAGAUCUCAUACCCUGAUACAUGUAAAACUACCGAUUGUCCCAAAAGCUUAAACCAUUAGGAUAUGAUAAAUUUAAUCAUUUAACCAAUACUUCUAACACUUCCCCUCACAUAUGAGCCGAAGCUACCUUUUAAUAGGUGAGGCUCAACACGUGAAAAUUUAAAUAAGAGGUAGAAUGGAGUAAACAAGAAUCAAACUCAGAAUCUCAUGCUCUGAUAUCAUGUUAAAAUACAGAUUGUCCCAAAAACUUAAGCUAUUGGAAUAUAGUAAAUUUAAUCAUUUAACCACAUAUUUCUAAUAGAUUUUAUAAGAAAGGCUUAACGGUUUGAUUUUUUAUUUGUAGAUAUUUAAUUACGCUCUAUUUAAUUCUUUAAUAUUGAUAUUUAGAAGACAAGCCAUGUAUCUAAAUCCAAGUUUUGGGUUUGGGUCGUGACAUCUUGUGCUACCAAAACAACCGGCCAAAGAACCAUUAACCAAAACUGAAAACUAAACUAUAGAAAUACAGCUACUAAUGCACUGCUUAUCUAAGACCAAAUCCCAUCCUCCCUAAAGAGCAUCCCAAUUCACACGAUUAUAAGCUUUUUCAAUAUCUAGCUUGCAGAUAACACCCGGAAUUUUACUUUGAAGUCUACUAUCAACACACUUAUUGGCAAUUAAAACCAAAUCUAAUAUUUGAUGAUCACCUACAAAGGCAUUUUAAGACUCCAAAAUCAGUCCAUCCAGCACCCCUCUCAAGCAACAUUUGAUAAAAUCUUGUAAGCACUACCCACUAGGCUGAUAGGCCAAUAGUCCUAAAUGUUAUAUGCAUUAUUAUACUUCUUAGGGAUGAGAGCUAUAAAUGACACUUCAAUGACUUCUCAAACUUCCCAAAUUGAGAAUUCCUCAAAAAACGCAAGAACAUCACUGUCCACUACCCCCCAACAAUGAUGAUAGAAACCAUAGUAAAGCCGUUCAAACUGGGGGAUUUAUCCCCCUCCAUAUCAAGCACAACCUGUAAAAUCUCCUCCCUCUCAAAUUUCCGCUCAAGCAACCCACUCUCAUCUACUCCAAUGUGAUCAAAAUCUUUUUUUUUUUUUUUUUUUUUUGGAUAAAUAAUGAAAUUUCAUUAAUCAAAAGCCCCAGGUACAUUGGGAGCGUACACGGAAAGGGUUACAUCAAGAUCGAAAAUUACAACGAUUAAGCAUAACAAAAAGAUUAGAGCAAGAAAAAGAAGAGAAAAAAGAGACCAAGCAAACAAAGAGUGAAGGAAAAGAGAUUUAAUCUCAAGAAUCAACCAUUCCGUUCCCUCAAAGUAUCUACUGUUCCUUUCCCGCCAAAGAGACCAUAACACACAAUGUGGGACAGCCCACCAUAGGUCUAUAUUGCGCUGUUCACCGAACAGACCCGGCCAAGAUGCAAAUAAAUCUACAACACUUUGAGGCAUCAC